rnacentral:rRNA from 1 species
AUGAUGAGGACAGAGCCUGUGCAUUGGGCAAGGGCUUUCUUUCCAGUGGGAGAAAAUUGUGAGUCAGUUGACAAUAAUCUAUGUGAUUCAUUCAACCAUGCCAUUUUUUAUGCUAGGUUCUAUCCAAUUAUUUCUAUGCUAGAUAAUAUUAGGAAGAAAAUAUUGGUGAGAAUUCAAGAACAGAAAGAGAAGGAUGAGAAAAUGACAGGGAAAAUAUGCCCUGGUAUAUUUAAAAAGAUCAAGAAAUAUAUUGCUUGGACACAAUAUCUUGAGGUGCUUUGGAAUGGAGAAAAUGGGUUUGAAGUGAAGCAUAUCAAUGGUAGGGGAAGGCAAUACACUGUUGAUCUUGAAAAAAGGACAUGCUCAUGUGGCUAUUUCCAGUUGGCUGGUUUGCCUUGUCACCAUGCCAUUAGUGCUAUCUACAAGUGUAAGAAGAAUAUUGAAGAUUUCAUUCAUCCUUGCUACUCUGUUGAGGUGUUCAAAAAUUAUAUGAGCAUUGCUUGCAGCCUGUAG